rnacentral:lncRNA from 10 species
AUUCUGGGAAGCGGAGUUCCAGCCUUUCUCUUUCCGCGGGAGGGAAUGAAAGGGAGGAGAAAGAGAUGGAAAACAGCACAAAAUUAGAUGAAAUAAUAGUUUCAGACUUUGGAGAAUAGGCAGAGAAACACUAUGAUCCCUGAGAAAAAAGAGAUAAACCACGUAAAGUCUAUAGUCAUCCUGUAUUUUUAUUGAGAGACACACAUGCAAGACCACAGUGUAGACGAAAGUCCCAAGGAGAGUAUAUGGCCUUGCCUUGUAUAGAAGACACAUACCAGAGUUCAGGCGUUUUGGAAGGAGGCUGAAGUUGCAGCAAAGGGCUCUGAAGAGGUAAGCGCUAUAUAGAAUACCAGAAAUCCCCAAAAUAUUGGGAUACCUUUACUUCACACCAUACACAAAAAUUAACUUGAAAUUAGUUAUAGAUCGAAAUGUAAGACCUCAAAACUCAAACUACAAAUCUGUAGGAAAACGCAUGAGAGAAGAUAUUUGUGAUCUUCUUGUAGGUAAAGAUUCCC